UUAUUGGAGAGUUUGAUCCUGGCUCAGGACGAACGCUGGCGGCGUGCCUAAUACAUGCAAGUCGAGCGGA
rnacentral:rRNA from 2 species